rnacentral:rRNA from 2 species
CAGCGAAACUGCGAAUGGCUCAUUAUAUAAGUUAUCGUUUAUUUGAUAGUACCUUACUACUUGGAUAACCGUGGUAAUUCUAGAGCUAAUACAUGCUAAAAAUCCCGACUUCGGAAGGGAUGUAUUUAUUAGAUUAAAAACCAAUGCCCUCUGGGCUCCUUGGUGAUUCAUAAUAACUUUUCGAAUCGCAUGGCCUUGCGCCGGCGAUGGUUCAUUCAAAUUUCUUCCCUAUCAACUUUCGAUGUUUGGGUAUUGGCCAAACAUGGUCGCAACGGGUAACGGAGGGUUAGGGCUCGACCCCGGAGAAGGAGCCUGAGAAACGGCUACUACAUCCAAGGAAGGCAGCAGGCGCGCAAAUUACCCAAUCCCGAUUCGGGGAGGUAGUGACAAUAAAUACUGAUACAGGGCUCUUUUGGGUCUUGUAAUUGGAAUGAGUACAAUUUAAAUCUCUUAACGAGGAACAAUUGGAGGGCAAGUCUGGUGCCAGCAGCCGCGGUAAUUCCAGCUCCAAUAGCGUAUAUUAAAGUUGUUGUGGUUAAAAAGCUCGUAGUUGAACCUUGGGCCUGGCUGGCCGGUCCGCCUCACCGCGUGUACUGGUCCGGCCGGGCCUUUCCCUCUGUGGAACCUCAUGCCCUUCACUGGGUGUGGCGGGGAAACAGGACUUUUACUUUGAAAAAAUUAGAGUGCUCCAGGCAGGCCUAUGCUCGAAUACAUUAGCAUGGAAUAAUGAAAUAGGACGUGUGGUUCUAUUUUGUUGGUUUCUAGGACCGCCGUAAUGAUUAAUAGGGACAGUCGGGGGCAUCAGUAUUCAAUUGUCAGAGGUGAAAUUCUUGGAUUUAUUGAAGACUAACUACUGCGAAAGCAUUUGCCAAGGAUGUUUUCAUUAAUCAGGAACGAAAGUUAGGGGAUCGAAGACGAUCAGAUACCGUCGUAGUCUUAACCAUAAACUAUGCCGACUAGGGAUCGGACGAUGUUAUUUUUUGACGCGUUCGGCACCUUACGAGAAAUCAAAGUG